GUCUAUAUAUUAAAAAGAAACUCAAAAAACUAGAGCUUGCUCAUCAAGGUUCGUACUUGCAGGGUCUGGAUUACGGGAGCUCACAGGGUCAACAUGUGGUUCCAAUGCAAGGCAGAGAUUAACAUUAAUGGCUUCAAGAUCUGUUACGAUUUAAAGCUAAAACGCAGCCGCCACAUCAACAGGUCUUGUUUUAAACUCGAGCAUCUACUUAGCGUGCUUACGAUUCGUUGGACUAUGUAUUCUCAUAUCUUAUUGUAAUUUAAACUAUUCCGUAGAUUUUAUAGAAAAAUGUUUCUACCUCACGAGUUGAUGGUGUUAGGUAUUCAAGUUUCAUUUUCGAGAGUGUUUCGUUGUAACUUUUAUAGUUGCUGAACUGAUAAAUUGUCGAAAAUGACUUCAAAUGCUUGUGUGAAUAUGCAUCAAUAGGUGCCCAAAUGCAAGUAUUUGGUUUACCUAUAAA